rnacentral:rRNA from 1 species
ACCUACGGGGGGCAGCAGUGGGGAAUAUUGCACAAUGGGCGAAAGCCUGAUGCAGCAACGCCGCGUGAGUGAUGAAGGCCUUCGGGUUGUAAAGCUCUGUCUUUGGGGACGAUAAUGACGGUACCCAAGGAGGAAGCCACGGCUAACUACGUGCCAGCAGCCGCGGUAAUACGUAGGUGGCGAGCGUUGUCCGGAUUUACUGGGCGUAAAGGAUGCGCAGGCGGAUAUUUAAGUGAGAUGUGAAAUACCCGGGCUUAACUUGGGUGCUGCAUUUCAAACUGGAUAUCUAGAGUGCGGGAGAGGAGAAUGGAAUUCCUAGUGUAGCGGUGAAAUGCGUAGAGAUUAGGAAGAACACCAGUGGCGAAGGCGAUUCUCUGGACCGUAACUGACGCUGAGGCAUGAAAGCGUGGGUAGCAAACAGGAUUAGAUACCCUUGUAA